GGGUUGUGAGGUUAAGCGACUAAGCGUACACGGUGGAUGCCCUGGCAGUCAGAGGCGAUGAAGGGCGUGCUAAUCUGCGAUAAGCGCCGGUAAGGUGAUAUGAACCGUUAUAACCGGCGAUACCCGAAUGGGGAAACCCAGUGUGAUUCGUCACACUAUCAUUAACUGAAUCCAUAGGUUAAUGAGGCGAACCGGGGGAACUGAAACAUCUAAGUACCCCGAGGAAAAGAAAUCAACCGAGAUUCCCCCAGUAGCGGCGAGCGAACGGGGAGGAGCCCAGAGCCUGAAUCAGCAUGUGUGUUAGUGGAAGCGUCUGGAAAGGCGCGCGAUACAGGGUGACAGCCCCGUACACAAAAGCGCAUGUGCUGUGAGCUCGAUGAGUAGGGCGGGACACGUGGUAUCCUGUCUGAAUAUGGGGGGACCAUCCUCCAAGGCUAAAUACUCCUGACUGACCGAUAGUGAACCAGUACCGUGAGGGAAAGGCGAAAAGAACCCCGGCGAGGGGAGUGAAAAAGAACCUGAAACCGUGUACGUACAAGCAGUGGGAGCACAGGUUUACCUGUGUGACUGCGUACCUUUUGUAUAAUGG
rnacentral:rRNA from 1 species